CCCCGCAUCAUCACGUUUCAUCUCUCUCAUUUCCUUUCUUCUUCUGAAACCUCUCAUCUCCCUCUUACUCCCUUUUCGGCACCAUCCUCUUCUCUCUCUCUUUGAAAGAUAAACCCAUCCUUUAUUAUUUCUGUGCUUUUUUUUUUUCCUCCCCCGUUUGGCACUCUCUUUCUCUCUCCUUUUGAGGGACAAACCCAUCUAAGUCUUUCUCAUCUCUGUUUUUUUCCCCUUUCGUGUCUCUCUCUCAUGACAAACCCAUCUCUCACUAUCUUCCUCAUCUCAGUAACAAUGGGGGCGAUUGCGAUUGCGAUGAGCGAUGAUGUGAUGUUGUUGAACGGUGGCGUGGACGGUCACUGAGGGUUUUUGGAACUUUGAGUUCUUAUAAAACCAUUCUUCAUCACAUCGGUUUCAUUGUUUUAUUGGGUUAGGACUCAAGAAGAGAACCAUGCCUCCUCAGUCUUCAGGUCAUUUUUUUAAGAUCUAGGUUUCACUGUUUUGGAUUUGCUGUUGUUAUAUUUCUAAAUAAGGCAAAUUACGAUGCUAGUCCCUCUACUUUGGUCUCAAUAAUUUCAAUUGAUUUGAUUUUUAUCAUGAA